GUGGCUGUAGUUCAGUGGUUAGAAUUCCAUGUUGUGGCCGUAGAGACCUGUGCUCGAAUCCCAGCAGCCACA
rfam:Triticum aestivum genome assembly, contig: Triticum_aestivum_CS42_TGACv1_scaffold_556494_7AL